rnacentral:misc_RNA from 1 species
AGCUUAGAGGAAAAUAAUGAUGAGGUAUGUGAGGAUGCAACUAUUUGUUGAGCUGUGGUUAAUUUACCUAUUAGUGAUUCAUAGAGCUUUUAAAUAAUCUGUUUAGUUGUGAUAUUGGUAGCUAGAGCUUUAAAAUUUGGGGUUUUAGGAUUUGGACUUUUUAUAGUAAGAAUCCAGGGUUUGUAGCUUAAAGAGUGUCUGAACUGGCUGAGAUAUGAUGGCAGAAGGCAGGUGGAUUUGAAGGAUUUGGUUGCUAGAAUUUUCUGGCAGCAAGGGAAUAAAUCAAAACAUUAUCAAAGAAAAUGUGAAGAUUACAAGGGUCUACGAAUCAUAAAUAGGAAGACACCAAAAGAAUAACUUAGACUCAAAGAAAAUGAUCCAAUAAAUCUUACUACUCCAAGAAGUAGAGAGAAGUCUAGCUCUUGGAAUUCCUCGAAGACUUCAGCUUAAUUAAUCAAAAUACCCUGAAUUUCACAGGAAUCAUAACUCAUUUAAGAUAAACUCAUUUUACACACUGAUUCAUUACUUAGCUAAGAAGGAUUUUAGCCACAAAACCACUAGUGUUACUUCCUUGAACAUUCUGUAUAGAUCAUGAAGUAGCUAUCUGCUGCUGUAUCAAUAAAUACUUUCAAUAAUUGGUGCAAUUGAGUAUUUGUACGGUUGUACCUUCUGUCGUAUUGAAGUCUAUUUGUGCUAUAAUCUCCCCUCUCUCCUAUUUUUGGUUUAUUUGUUUCAUUCUGCUGAUUGUGUAUUUUGUACAGUUAAAGGCUAUUUCUUGUUUGCAGUUGGAUGUUCACCUCAUGCUUA